ensembl:lncRNA
UUUUGUUUAUAUAUAUAAAUGUAUUUAUUUAAGUUAAUCAUUUCUCCUCAUUCAAAGUUGAAUUUCUGCAUUAUCUAUAAAACAGGGAACAGUUAGAAGCGCUGUACAGUCUGACAACAAAACUAGGAACUGCAGCUGAGUACACUGUGUAUAUAUGUACAUACUGUACACACACUGAUGUAGGUAUAUACAAAAAUAUACACUUUUACAUGUGUGAACCCUCGGGUUGCAUCAGCCACCUCGUAAUGUGAAUACCAGCCAUUCAGAGCCACAUGCCUCUCAGAAAACACAUUAACCCACCAGCUCACACCCCACCCCAUAUCCCACCCAUAUUGAUUACUGUUAUUAUCUGUCAUUACCAGUUGAUGAGACUUUUACAGUGUAUCGUCUGCUGUGCAUGAUCUGCCCCUAUUGUGCCCCGACUCAUUUACAUUGGCACAGCCGCUUGUAGAAGACGGAGAAGCUUAAGCAGUCCUGAGCUGGAUGUCUCAGCAGGGCUUUUCACUUAUUAGAGAGAGGGCCCUUCUUCUGUUAAUCCUAUGAGGGGAUUUGAGGUGGGCCGAUAGGGGGAAAACGUCCCAGGUUUUUGACAAGUCGUGACUGAACUUUUCUCCGUUUAAAGGAAAAGCUGAACGAACACAAAGAUUUUGCUUCAAGCUUCCUUUUCUUGUUUAACUCUAGCAAAUAACCCCUUGUUUCCCUCCACAGCGAAAUAAAUAAUGUCUAGUGGCUCAGUGGGUAGGAUGCUCUUAUUUACUGACUCAAGCUCACGUUUUAUGUUAUUAAAGAAGACGACCAUCUGCAGGAUUGUCAGUAAUAUUCUUCUUACUCGAUGUUUUCCCUUGUAAAUUUAUUUCAAUAGGCAUUUUUUGGUUUGUGCGUCAUCAUUUUGGCUCAUACCUAAAAUUAUUUUUUAUACGCACAAGAUCACUUGGUCAUAAUUGGAUCACAACCAAAACAAAAUGUUCUGCAUUAUUGUGAUGCAGCCUAGCACGCUUUAACUUUUGAUUAAAUGGCUCCAAACAGGUAAACGCACUACGAAAAGAUGGAACCAUGAUAUGAUACUGGGGAUGACUUUUGUUGAGCUAUGUUUCAGAGUUGUUACUCCUCUAAUGGAUAUUUUAAAGAAUAUUUUAAAGUUUUUAAGACAUGGAAACACGCAAACGACCAUUUUUAAUCCCCUCUCUAUCAUAAAACUGACACAAGACCAGCAGAUAACAGCAGUCCUGCCCACAGUGGCUUCUACAAGUUGAGACUGGAGGGAAGAUACUCAUUACACUGCAAGCAAGCUGUCACGGAACAAGUCCUCCGAGACUGUUUUCCAAAGACUUUCACCCCUUCUUAUUCUUCAUCAUACAGCAAAUUCGGAAAAGGAAAUUUGGCACGUUGUGCAAAAGAUGUAAACAUUUAACCAUCCUUUUGAAAUGAGGCGCUGCACUUAAGUGUUACAGUCAUUUCUUCUGUGUGUAACAUAAAAAAAGAUUAAGAAAUAAAAUAGCAAACCUUAUGACAAGUAUAAGACUAGCUUUAAAAAGAAAAGGCUUCAGACAACACGGGAACUGUUGCAGACAGGACUGACAUGGUCACUCAGGUGAGCACAGUCGGCUUCUGCGGAGUAGCAAACUCACAUGGAGAUCUUAUAAAGCAAAGACAGAAACUACCUCAAGUCCUUCUUCCUUUUUUUGUUUCGCAGCUGAUCAUGUGUGGCAAUAGAGGGCGCUAAAAACUACUAAAUAAAACCUCAGCAUGUUGGAAACCUUCACUUAUUCUAUGCUGACUGAGAUAUCACCACUACUCAAGAGGCUGCACAAUUUCUGCAAUAAUCUAGACGAUAAGGCGAUGAAAAAGUAAACGAACUAACUACUAAAAUGUGUACUUGCACACAUCUAAACCGAGACAGAUUUUGCAUGUAUCCUAUGACAGAUCUUCCCAUUUACACCCUUUGAGAAUCAGCUAAAAAAAAAAAAAAAAAAAAAACUUCAAUGGUGCCCUUUCAAGAAUACAUCUAAAUUAAACAUUUUUAUAUUUUUCUACUUUUAAUAAGAUUAUUUCUCCUGUAACCUGCCUUUAAAAUCUCCACUGAAGCGUCUGAUUUCACAGCACACACUGAAAUAGAAAACUGAUGUUCAAACCUAAAUUUCACUUAAUGCUUCUCCUGUAUUGCAACCAUGCUUACUUAAGACACUGAAAGUGUUUCAUUUUGUUUUGCAUUUUCCAAACCAAACCAGACUUUUCCAUGUUUAAAGUAACACAUCAUCAUGAAAUCAGAUUUGGGCCUUUGGAUUUAGCAUCAAAGGCAACACCAAAUUUUUCUAAGCAGGGCCUUGCCUGAGUUUCUCUCUGGCCUCGUGCCAUGUUGUGGGUCCCCUGCCCUGCAGCACAAUGCAGCAACCUGUCAAGUCACAGGAUAGGCUUUUCAAACCAGCUGCAGCUUCAGCUGACCUUCUCAGCUCCACUCACCCCACUUAUAAAUGAACAUAUAAGACAAGGCAAACAGAUACACAGAAAAAAAAAGUAUCAGACAGCAAAGCAACCGAGGCCAGCUGUCUUUGUCAGUUGGCGGCUCAAUAAAAUAAAACCAAAGGAGUUUCGGAUGUGAGUGUGCACGAGAGCGGGAAGGACUGAGAAAAGCAGAGAGCGCACGACUUUAAAGAUGACUUGAGAUUUCAGCUUUCCUGUACCCAAACUGUACAUCUGUUCAGAAAUAUUUUGUGUUCCUGUAGUUGCCUUGAGGUCGCCAAGUGAUGAGUCACACUAAAUUUAAUCAAGCGCAAUUUUCCCAAACUCCACUGUCAUUACUCAUCGGUGACUAACAGCACAGGAGAUCAUAGCAGUGAAGAUGAGGAAGUGAUGUGAAAGCCUAAAGGACAUUAGAAACAAAACAUAACAAACAAACUAUUUAAAAGGCAAGAGUUAAUGGACUCGGAAACAGAUAAAUGUACUGCAAAUCGUAUCAGUAACACCACCUGGUAACAAAAACUGCACCGUUUCAUGACACCAAGAUAUUGUUGAUCUGCAUAGUAGUGUGGCAGGAAAAAAAAAGAAAGAAAGAGUAUUCUUAUUUCUACUUUGCAUCAGCAAAAGCUGCGCAGUCCUGCUUGUGCAAUCAGAAAAAUCUGCUCUCCUCUUGCAGAAACAGAGUGAGGACAAACAGUAAAACCUUGUUUACUGCAGUUCCAAACUUCAGAACAGAUGGCUCAUCUAACAGGAAAGUUAGAGGAAAAAAAAUAUGUUGAUGUAAAUCACUGUGACUCAGUGCAACGCUGGAAACAUGUCGGCGAUACAUGCAGUCAGAAGUUGCUUCGCUACUUGUCGAGACUUUUCUUUUUGCAUGAAAUCUGCUCUCAGGCUGGAAUAAGCACAGUUUGCCGUUGUCAAUAGAGAGACGGACGUCUGACACCUCGAUGAAUUAAAAAAACCCAAACAAACCCCACUUUACUUUGCUGCAGGGUUGCAUUGUUCCUCCUGCAAGGUCUAAGUGUAGUUUUCUUCUUUAACUUUGUAAAAGUGCUGGAAGAGGAGAAGCAAUCAUCUCAGUCACAUCUAUGCAAACUCUACAUUACUG